GGGCGGAGCGGAGCGCGGGGCGGGUUUCGGGCCCAGCAGGCCUGUCGGGAAUAAAAACUGCGGGGUGUGCUCGCUUCCAAAUCAGCCCGGGGUUUUGGGGUACGGAAACGUGCUCGGGAUCAAUGCGGCUUGCUGUCUGAGGAGGUCCCUGUGGUGUUCAUGAAGAAUAACAUUGCUGAAGUUAUUUUGGGUGUGAAAGUGAAGUUUUGUUAGUGAAAUAAUUUUCCAGAACUGCGUAGAGCGUGGUUUGCACAAAGGAAUUGAAUUUGAGGAAGAGUUUCUUGACACUGAAGGUGGCAGAGCACUUGGAGCACAGGCUCAUGGAGGUCAUGAAGUCUCCUUCUCCAGAGGAGACAAGCUGAUUCAAAACCUGGCUGGAUGCUCUCCUGGGUCAUUCGCGUUUGAUAACCCUGCCUUGGCUAGGGGGCUGGACUAAAUCAUCUCCCGAGGUCCCUUCCAAUCCUAACGACUGUCUGCAUUCUUUGUCUGGUAAUGUGGCUUGUGCUAGUGAAUUAAAAUGCCUUAAUAAUAUUUUUGCGUUCAAAU